rnacentral:rRNA from 1 species
CGAACGAUGAUCCGGUGCUUGCAUCGGGGAUUAGUGGCGAACGGGUGAGUAACACGUGAGUAACCUGCCCUUGACUCUGGGAUAAGCCUGGGAAACUGGGUCUAAUACCGGAUAUGACUCCUCAUCGCAUGGUGGGGGGUGGAAAGCUUUUGUGGUUUUGGAUGGACUCGCGGCCUAUCAGCUUGUUGGUGAGGUAAUGGCUCACCAAGGCGACGACGGGUAGCCGGCCUGAGAGGGUGACCGGCCACACUGGGACUGAGACACGGCCCAGACUCCUACGGGAGGCAGCAGUGGGGAAUAUUGCACAAUGGGCGCAAGCCUGAUGCAGCGACGCCGCGUGAGGGAUGACGGCCUUCGGGUUGUAAACCUCUUUCAGUAGGGAAGAAGCGAAAGUGACGGUACCUGCAGAAGAAGCGCCGGCUAACUACGUGCCAGCAGCCGCGGUAAUACGUAGGGCGCAAGCGUUAUCCGGAAUUAUUGGGCGUAAAGAGCUCGUAGGCGGUUUGUCGCGUCUGCCGUGAAAGUCCGGGGCUCAACUCCGGAUCUGCGGUGGGUACGGGCAGGCUAGAGUGAUGUAGGGGAGACUGGAAUUCCUGGUGUAGCGGUGAAAUGCGCAGAUAUCAGGAGGAACACCGAUGGCGAAGGCAGGUCUCUGGGCAUUAACUGACGCUGAGGAGCGAAAGCAUGGGGAGCGAACAGGAUUAGAUACCCUGGUAGUCCAUGCCGUAAACGUUGGGCACUAGGUGUGGGGGACAUUCCACGUUUUCCG